GACGAACGCUGGCGGCGUGCUUAACACAUGCAAGUCGAACGAAGUGGCGAACGGGUGAGUAACGCGUAAUCAACCUGCCCUUCCGAGGGGGACAACAGUUGGAAACGACUGCUAAUACCGCAUACUGAAGGAGGGGCUUGCGUCUGAUUAGCUAGUUGGAGGGGUAAAGGCCACCCAAGGCGAUGAUCAGUAGCCGGGUGGGGGGUAUGAACGGGAAAAUUUGGACUGAGACAAGGCCCAGACUCCGACGGGAGGCAGCAGUGGGGAAGCGUCCUAAAUGGACGAAAGUCUGACGGAGCAACGCCGCGGGAGUGAUGACGGCCUUCGGGUUGUAAAGCUCUGUUAAUCGGGACGCGGUACCGGAAUAGAAAGCCACGGCUAACUACGUGCCAGCAGCCGCGGUAAUUC
rnacentral:rRNA from 1 species